rnacentral:RNase_P_RNA from 1 species
CGAGUUCGGCAGACGGUCGCGGCGCGUAUGCAACGCAAACGUGUCGAGGAAAGUCCGGACUCCACAGGGCACGAUGCUGGCUAACGGCCAGGCGGGGCGACCCGACGGAACAGUGCAGCAGAGAGCAAACCGCCGAUGGGGCUCGGUCUUCGGAUCGGCCCACAGGUAAGGGUGAAACGGUGGUGUAAGAGACCACCAGCGUUGCAGGUGACUGCAGCGGCUAGGCAAACCCCAUCUGGAGCAAGGCCAAGUGUGGACAGAGUGACCCGCUCGUUACGUCCCAGGUAGGCCGCAUAGAUAGAUGACCGUUCACGACAGAAUCCGGCUUAU